UAACAAUAAUAUUAAACAAUCAUUCAAGCAAGGGAACAAUACUAUCAAAACAAACAUCCCAACAAAGGAACAAUAAUAUUAAACAAAUAUCCCAGCAAGGGAACAAUACUAUCAAAACAAACAUCCCAACACGGAAACAAUACUAUCAAAACAAACAUCCCAACAAAGGGAUAAUAAUAAUAAUAAUAAUAAUAAUAAUAAUAAUAAUAAUAAUAAUAAUAAUAAUAAUAAUAAUAAUAAUAAUAAUAAUAAUAAUAAUAAUAAUAACAGAUGAAGCGCAAUAAACUACAACGGAGUCAUAACAACUAUAAUACGAGAUUCACGAGCAUGCUUGACAUCCAACGUAUAGAUACUCGUCACCAUGCCUAUACGUCGGACACAUUACAUAACAAGUAACAAAUAUACUCAACUCAUAUUCCCUCAAGCUAUGAUAGAUCAAACACUUAUCUCGUUUUGCGAACAAUUCCAGAUUCCAAUAAGCCUUUGCCUCUGGGAAUUCGUGUAAAGCUUCAAAUCUUUUAAUCUUUAUCUCUUGAGAAAGAAAAGCAAUAAGGAGAAGCCAAAUAGAAGCUGAAACCGAACAACAAUGCAUCAGCGCCGAAACCUCGCCGGAAAAAUGGAUAGCGACAAUCAUAGUCCCGAACCAACAUACGGUAACCUCCACUGAACCAGAAAUGCUACUGAACAAGAGUCGCAAACGGGACACCUCGAAUAAUUGAAAAGUUCACUGGUCAGCUCAACUGGACUCCAUUUUUUACGACCAAAAACUAGAUUUUUCAGGCCCUUAAAGUUGGCUGUGAUUUGGAGUGGAGAGGUGGUUUUGCUGGUGGGGUGCUAGAACGCUAGUAGCUGCUGGAAUGCUGGUCGACGGGUUGCUGGACGACGCAGCAGCAACUAUGGAGGACGAGUGCUCGACGGACAGGUGAAGCAGUGGUUGCUAUUGCUGGUUCGAUAGGAGUCUGGAGGGUGAACUGAGAUGGUCGUUUGGUGACAGGAAUGGUGGUUUGUUGGUGGUGAGGGCGGACUGCUACUGCUGAUCAACACGGGCGUCUGGGCUGCUGGGCAGCGACUGGAACUGGUGUGAGGGGUGAGGGACGGGGUUGGUUGACGGUGGUUUGCUGUGGGUUAUCAAGAAGAAGCAGAUGAACAGUAGCGUAUCUCCAGAAAAAAAUCUGUCCAAAUGUGUUCUUUCUAAGUGUACUGUCCGUGUAUAUCCAAAUGUGUAGUGUAUUCAAAAAUCUUUGUCCUAUCCGCCCCAGAUCCACUUGAAAAUACUAUAUUCCUCAAUACAUUAUGCCAUAAACUAUGACACUGUACUAACCAAAAAUUAUUUUUUUAAAAUAAUCAAUCUAUCUCAUUUUUCGUCAAUGAAUAAAAAGC
rnacentral:lncRNA from 1 species